rnacentral:tRNA from 1 species
CAAAAAGUAGCUUACACAAAGCAUUCAACUUACAAUUGAAAAACGCUAGAUUACCUGGCCUUUUUGC